rnacentral:sRNA from 1 species
UCACUGUAUCACUCACAAUGCUUUUAGCUGC